rnacentral:rRNA from 1 species
ACGCUGGCGGCGUGCCUAACACAUGCAAGUCGAACGCGAAGAUCCCGCAAGGGAUUUGUAGAGUGGCAAACGGGUGAGUAACACGUGGGUGACCUGCCUCCGAGUGGGGGAUAACGUCCCGAAAGGGACGCUAAUACCGCAUGACAUCCUGCCGUUGAAACGGUGGAGAUCAAAGCUGGGGAUCGCAAGACCUACCGCUCGAAGAGGGGCCCGCGUCCGAUUAGCUAGUUGGUGAGGUAACGGCUCACCAAGG